rnacentral:lncRNA from 10 species
AGAUAAGGAAAGGGGUGUGCCAGUUUCUUCUCUCACACACGAUUCCAAUUCUUAUGCGUUUACCAAUGGCUAACAGUCCUGGGGGCUCCUUUAAGAUGACAUUAACUGUAAUUAUCUGGUCUCAGGAACAUGCGGUCCUGGCUGCAGUCUAUACUGGCUCCAGAUCUACCUUCUUGUUUCCUAACACACUUCCUCCUGUCUACAAUGGCUCUUAUUACUACUUCUCUGGGAUUUGACUGUAGAUGAUUUUGUAGAGCACUUGUGUACGCAAUUUGAGAAGAAAUGAAUGGAAGGAGAUGAUGUCUGAGGUGCAGGCAAAGGAAACGCCACAGAAGUUAGUCACAAGUGACAGCUAUUCAAACUUUAAUUAACUGCUGAAAAAAAGGGCCAUCAGCUAAGAGAAGCAAAGAAGAGAAGAAUAUUGAUUAUAAUCCUUUAUUCAAAUUAUAAAAUACUAGGUACAAAUAAAAUUUUAUUUUCAUCAGGACAAAGUAUACAUAGAAAUAACACAUAAUCUCUGACAUCUUACAGGCUGGGGAAGCAAAAUGUACCUGCUUUCAAAGCAUUUCACUUCCGUGUGUCUUUUUAAUACAUUUCAUCUAGAAUGUACAUGUCUUGAAAUAGAGAUUUCAGGAAGUGACCAAGAAGAAUGAUUAAUUAGCUCAGAUUAUUAAGGGGUGGACUUCAGGCAACUUGGUUAAUAUUGUUUGAAGAUGACUUUUAUUUAAACAUAGAUUUACAAUAGCAAGGUGAACUGGAAUAAGAGGAGAACUUAAUUUAGCAUAUUUAAAAAAUCUAACAUAUCUAUCCUUUACAUAAAAGACUUUUUCCA